AUUGAACGCUGGCGGCAUGCUUUACACAUGCAAGUCGAACGGCAGCACGGGGGCAACCCUGGUGGCGAGUGGCGAACGGGUGAGUAAUAUAUCGGAACGUACCCGGAAAUGGGGGAUAACGUAGCGAAAGUUACGCUAAUACCGCAUAUGCCCUAAGGGGGAAAGCGGGGGAUUCGCAAGAACCUCGCGUUUUCGGAGCGGCCGAUAUCGGAUUAGCUAGUAGGUGAGGUAAAGGCUCACCUAGGCGACGAUCCGUAGCUGGUCUGAGAGGACGACCAGCCACACUGGAACUGAGACACGGUCCAGACUCCUACGGGAGGCAGCAGUGGGGAAUUUUGGACAAUGGGCGCAAGCCUGAUCCAGCCAUGCCGCGUGAGUGAAGAAGGCCUCGG
rnacentral:rRNA from 1 species